rnacentral:rRNA from 1 species
UCAAGUCGAUGGGGAAGUGGUGCUUGCACCAUGGUAACCAUGGCGGACGGGUGAGUAACGCGUAAGGAACUUGCCUGCGGGACUGGGAUAACAGCAGGAAACUGCUGAUAAUACCGGAUAAGGUCAUUAAGCUGCAUAGCUUAGUGAUGAAAGGAGACGCCUGCGGAGAGCCUUGCGUCCUAUUAGCUAGUUGGAGGGGUAACGGCCCACCAAGGCGAAGAUAGGUAGCCGGCCUGAGAGGGUGGACGGCCACAAGGGGACUGAGAUACGGCCCUUACUCCUACGGGAGGCAGCAGUGGGGAAUAUUGGACAAUGGGGGCAACCCUGAUCCAGCAAUUCUGUGUGCACGAAGACGGUUUUCGGAUUGUAAAGUGCUUUCAGCAGGGAAGAAGAAAGUGACGGUACCUGCAGAAGAAGCGACGGCUAAAUACGUGCCAGCAGCCGCGGUAAUACGUAUGUCGCGAGCGUUAUCCGGAAUUAUUGGGCAUAAAGGGCAUCUAGGCGGAUAUACAAGUCAGGGGUGAAAACUUAGGGCUCAACUCAAAGCUUGCCUUUGAAACUGUAUAUCUAGAGUGCUGGAGAGGUGGACGGAACUACACGAGUAGAGGUGAAAUUCGUAGAUAUGUGUAGGAAUGCCGAUGAUGAAGAUAGUCCACUGGACAGCAACUGACGCUGAAGUGCGAAAGCUAGGGGAGCAAACAGGAUUAGAUACCCUGGUAGUCCUAGCUGUAAACGAUGAUUACUGGGUGUGGGCAUGAAGAGUGUCCGUGCCGAAGCUAAUGCGAUAAGUAAUCCGCCUGGGGAGUACGGCCGCAAGGCUGAAACUCAAAGGAAUUGACGGGGACCCGCACAAGCGGUGGAGCAUGU